CCCUUAGAUGUUCUGGGCCGCACGCGCGCUACACUGACGAAGUCAGCGAGCAUGUCCUACGCCGGCAGGUGCGGGGAAUCUUGUGAAACUUUGUCGUGCUGGGGAUUGAUUUUUGAAAUUCUUGAUCAUGAACGAGGAAUUCCUAGUAAGCGCAAGUCAGCAGCUUGCGUUGAUUACGUCCCUGCCCUUUGUACACACCGCCCGUCGCUACUACCGAUUGAAUGGUUUAGUGAGAUCUUCGGAUUGGCGCCACUGCGGCUCAGCAAUGGGCUCGGUGGAUGCCGAAAAGUUGAUCAAACUUGAUCAUUUAGAGGAAGUAAAAGUCGUAACA
rnacentral:rRNA from 1 species